rnacentral:rRNA from 1 species
CGUUUACCGUGAAAAAAUUAGAGUGUUCAAAGCAGGCAGAUCCAAUUUUCUGCCACCGAAUACAUUAGCAUGGGAUAAUGGAAUAGGACCCUGUCCUCCUAUUUUCAGUUGGUUUUGGCAGCGCGAGGACUAGGGUAAUGAUUAAUAGGGAUAGUUGGGGGCAUUAAUAUUUAAUUGUCAGAGGUGAAAUUCUUGGAUUUAUGAAAGAUUAACUUCUGCGAAAGCAUCUGCCAAGGAUGUUUUCAUUAAUCAAGAACGAAAGUUAGGGGAUCGAAGACGAUCAGAUACCGUCGUAGUCUUAACCAUAAACGAUGCCGACCAGCGAUUAGGAGACGUUGAAUACAAAACACCACCAUCGGCGCGGUCGAUCCUUGGCGUCUCGUCCUUCACGGGCCGGAAANGCCGGGNGCUAGCCCGUGCCCGU